AUUGAACGCUGGCGGCAGGCCUAACACAUGCAAGUCGAACGGUAACAGGAAGCAGCUUGCUGCUUCGCUGACGAGUGGCGGACGGGUGAGUAAUGUCUGGGAAGCUGCCUGAUGGAGGGGGAUAACUACUGGAAACGGUAGCUAAUACCGCAUAAUGUCGCAAGACCAAAGAGGGGGACCUUCGGGCCUCUUGCAAUCGGAUGUGCCCAGAUGGGAUUAGCUUGUUGGUGGGGUAACGGCUCACCAAGGCGACGAUCCCUAGCUGGUCUGAGAGGAUGACCAGCCACACUGGAACUGAGACACGGUCCAGACUCCUACGGGAGGCAGCAGUGGGGAAUAUUGGACAAUGGGCGCAAGCCUGAUGCAGCCAUGCCGCGUGUAUGAAGAAGGCCUUCGGGUUGUAAAGUACUUUCAGCGGGGAGGAAGGGAGUAAAGUUAAUACCUUUGCGCAUUGACGUUACCCGCAGAAGAAGCACCGGCUAACUCCGUG
rnacentral:rRNA from 1 species